GCCUUCGUGGUGUAAUGGUCAGCACACUGAGCCGGUAUUUCAGAGGUCCGCGGUUCGACUCCCGGCGAAGGCG
rnacentral:tRNA from 1 species